GAAGAUUUUUGCUGAUUUUGUGUCCACAGCAACACAUUCAUGGCACUCCACUCACCACAUCUGUCUCCUUGUGACUUCUUCCUGUUCCCCAAAAUGACAUGGUGUAAAAGUGACCUUUUGAGCUCAGUUUUGGAGAUUCAGCUCAUCACAGUUUACUGAACAGGACUUUCAGCGAGUGGUGCAGGAGCACUGGGAGCAGAGCAUCACUGCACAAGCUAAAUUUAAACCAGUUUCUGAUUUUCAUAGGUGCAGAGAUGUGAGGCAGUCGGAGGUUUAUUGAGCUCAGACUCUUCGUCUCUCUGCAGUGACUCCAGCUGACAGCAGCAUCAUGGCAACGUUCGUGUCUUUAGCGACAUGUCAUCACUGUCCUGUUGCUUCCCGCCGUGGUCUCUUCUAUAGAGACUCUCUGUCGGCUCUGUCCAGGAACCUGAGGGUCCCGGGGGGCCCCAAUCGGCCCCCAGGCCUACGGUUGCAGGGCCUCAGCCUGCACAACAAACGCCACUGCAGACUCACCAGACCUGAGCUCCCAGAAUCCAUUGCUCUGGCUCACUCCAAGCCGUCGAGCAGCAUGAAGCACCUGGUCCUGGGUCACCUGAGGAGGCUGGUGACUCUGAGCCCGGCCCAGCGGCUCCGAGGCCUCCAUCUGCCGGGCUGACCUCCUGCAGGGGCAGGUGGGCUGAGAGCUGCUGGACACCAGAGGGCGCCGCAGAGGUUCACACUGAGGCUGGAGGAUAAUAUCUCCACCCUGCAUCUCCAGGAAGAGCUGCUGAAUCACUGAGCUCCACUGAGAUCAGGUUCCACGUCCGGAGGCAGGAACUCAACUGUAGAAAGAUGUUUCACCGUGCUGAAUGUAUCUCUUGCUUGCUUUCUAUGGAUACAGUUUUUGAGCCAUGCUGCAUUUAUUUAUUUGAUUGAUCCAGUUUGCUUUGUUUUCAUCUCUCUGGAAACUGAGGUUUUAAAUUCAUUCACUAGUAGUUCUGUUAUUUGGUAUGCUACUUAACCUAGUCUUAUAAGAUUAAUAACUGGUGCACUGGCUGAAAAAGUGAAUUAACUGUGUCAGUGUGGGCUUAUAAAACAGUGACUGUUGAGUAUUUUGUUAAGAAAGUGGUUAUUUUGCUUUAAAUAUCAUUAAAGUAUUAGAUAUACUUCUGCUUUGGUGUUUCAGAGGUUGAUAAAUUCUUUGUAAAUUCAGUUUAAUAUCCAAAAUAAAUCCAAAUCUGUUUCAGCC
ensembl:lncRNA